GCAAGACUCCGUCUGGCUGUUGUUUUCACUGAUUUUAGGGGCGACAGAAAACCCAGGGGAAGCUGACAGAGAAGGAGGAAACACAGUUAAGAAGUCUUUGACAUCCAAACAUCCUUCCAUGCUGAUGGCCUCCUGCACCCCACCAGAGCUGAGCGACCUCCUGUCAAAGCCUACGAACCAGAUGACUAUAAUGCUGACUGUGGUUCAGGGGGUCGACAACUUUAAGCAUAUGAGAUGUAAUCUCUAGCGUUUGGUGCUGAGAUUCUUCAGGACAAGGCCUUGAUGCCAUUCACACUCAGUACAUGAAGAUGAUUCACCAAACAUCUGUCUGAUUACUGGCAAUUUGUAGUAAAGACAGUGGACAAGUGAAGAGAGUGGAGGGGACGGCAUCAGAAAGGACCUUGAGCUACGACUGUCUUGGAUCACCCAAACCACAACUACACUGUGUCCAAGCACUGAACAAGGCUUUUCCUGCAUAGUGAAUUACUAGGUGGCUGCCUCUGUCAAAUCUGAUGAUGUCUCCAGCUAUUAACAAAACUCAGGCAGGCAGUCACAUGCUCUGAUACCCCUUUUCCACCAACACGGUUCUGUUGCAGGCUCCUGGCCUGUGUCCAUUCUCAAACUGUUCUACGCACCUCCACUGCACAAAAGGCAGUUCCAGGUCAGAAAUAUCAGUACCCUCCCUCUUCGACAUCCUUCGCCAGUCAUCACAUUCACAACCACAGUCAACGCAAGUCAAGGACCCUGGUCCACAGCAUCAACCAUCUUUGUAGGAAGAUGAAUACUGCAUUUCUUGAUUUAUCUUUAAAAUUUAGUUUUCUUCUGGAGUGCAAUCCCUCUCUAGACGGACUGAGGUCUAUCAGUCUUACUACUUAAUACUGU